rnacentral:tRNA from 1 species
UCCCUGGUAGUAUAUCGGAUGAGUACACGCGCCUGUCAUGAAAGUGGUACGCGCGAGAGCGGGGUUCGACUCCCCGCCAGGGAG